rnacentral:lncRNA from 1 species
CGGCGAGGCCCCUGCAAUCUCAAGACCCCACCAACGAAGAUGAACCACCACCACCACUGCCACCCAGCAGCUGCCCCUCUCACCACUACCACAGCCACAACUACCCCAAGAAAACCAACCUUCUGUAAGGAUCGAAGACAACCAAUCGAAAAGUCAAUUGAUAAACAAUUAAAAGAUCACAAUAUAACAAUGAAUAAAUAAAAGGGAAAGAAUUUGCAAACCAAUUAACUACCCAACUCCUCUUGAGCUUGUAGAUUAAUUCAAAUAAGCUACUUCAAGUUGAUGAAUUACAAUCACUCUUGUGUACAAAGGAAGGUUCACCUCCUCCUUGCCCCGAACUCCACUCGGUCAAGUCAGGACGUUUUACUAUCCCUCAGGACAACCCUCACAGAGCUACACUCAUGAAAGAUUCACUCACAAAUGAAAAGCUUAAAAUGAAUCUCACACCACUAAGACUACAAAUCUUCGUUGAAGAGUAUUUUCUCACUAAAAUCACUCUAGAUCUUUUGUAUUUUCAGUGUGCAAAAGUUAUUUGAAAUAUCUGACCAACCACUAUUUAUAUAGGAUCAAGAAAGUGCCUCAUUAGUGCUUCCAACGGAUAGAAAGUAGCUGAAGAGUCAACUAGCCGUUGGAGUAUCGGACGUCCGAUGCUUGUGUCCGAUACUGUCGGACGUCCGAUUCUUGCGUCCGACAUCAGGCAGUGAGUUUGAAAAAUUUUCUUCAAUUCUAUCGGACGUCCGAUAGGCUGGUUUUCUGCGUCCGAAGGUAUGAUGUAAAACUGAGAAUUUUUCUUCAAUUCCUUAGAACAUCCGGUAGGCUGGUUUUCUGCGUUCGGACGUCCGAUUCAGUCUUUUUGAGCGUCUGACAACUUUCAGCAACCUUUGUUUUCUUUCAAUUGCACUUGUUUAUGGAAUCAAAUAACUUCAUAACUAAAAGUAUAUCUUGAAGAGAUAUUAGUAUCAUCCAUUUGUUUUAUAAACAUCAAAAGAUAGGGAUCAAGAUCAACAUUCUCCCCCUUUUUGAUGAUGACAAAACAAUGGAUGGAAAGAAACAAAAAUAAGUAUAAGCUCCCCCUCAAUCAUUGCAUCCAAAACUUUCAAGAGUCAAACUCGUAAUCUCAGAAUAACUCCCCCUUACUCAUUACAUCUAUUUCUCCCCCUUUUUGUCAUCAUAAGAUGAGAGUAAAAAUCAGCUACCAUAAUUCAACAACAAUAACAAAGAAUCCAAUAUUUCAAGUAAAAACAGAGAAAUGACAGCAAUAACUAUUAUAUCACAGAGAAUUGAUAUCAAAAGGAGUAUCAAAAAGAGAAAUAACAAUCAAAAUAAUUAUCAGACCAAAUCAUCAUUAGAUCAGAAUUGUUCUUUACUCUCUUUUUAACAUCAUACAGAUCCAGUAAUAUUCAAAAAAUAUCAGCGAAAACUCAGAUCAAAGUAUCAGAAAUAUCAAAAGAAAAAAAACAUAAUGAACAAGAAUUACUGCAAUGAUUAAUAAUAUCUCCUACUUGUUAAAGUUAACAUCAUGUCUAACUAUCCACAUGCAUUUCAUGCCUUUUUUUAUAUUCUUUCUCACAUAGCAAUCACUUUUCAUGUGACCUUUUUAACAACAGAAAUUACACAUAGUUAUUGGAUCAAUCAAAUGAACAGGUUUAAUAAAUCUGACUUGCCUUCUCCUGUAGAUAUUAAACUCAUUUUUGCUAUAAUUCAAUCUUGUCUGAUGAGUAUUAAGAUGAGGUUCAGUGUCAUUCUUUUGAAGGCGGUUCUGUUUUAUAUAUUGCAACAAUUGACAUAAAUCAUCCAUCCUCCUUUUUAGACUGCAUUGUUCACUUCUGAGUAUGUUACAGAGUUUUGUCCUUUUGUUAAGUUCAGCAAGCACAUCAGUUUCAAUCCUCUUCAGGUUUUCAUUUUCAUGCUUAAGACCCUUGUUUUGUCGAAAAAGAUUUGCAUUAUCUUGUAAUAGAAAGCUAACUUUCUGUUUUAGUUCCUUGUUUUUAACAUAGGAUUCUUUCAAGCUGUUAUGCAUUUUUUCUAGAAAAGAAUUAACAUCUUCAUCGGAUUCACUAUCACUAUCAGUUUGAGAGUUGCAUUGAAUUACCUCUUCAUCUCCAGUGGUCAUGAAAGCCACUUGAGCAGAUUACUCUUCUUCCUCAACUUCACCUUCUGAGUUGCAAUCAUUCCAGGUGAUCUGGAAAUUGUUGAACUUUGGUUUUCGUUCAACCUUGUUCUCUUUCUUUUUCUUCAUUGGACACUCAUUUGCAUAAUGUCCUGGUUGGCCACAUUCAAAACACUUGUCAGUUUGCUUUUUGUUGAAUUCCAGCUUUCCUUUAUUUCUGAAAUUAUUGGACUGAUUUGGAAAGGAAUUGCUAUGUCCUCCUUUUCUGAAUCUCCUCUUGUUGAGUAUUCUUUUGAAGCCUCGUGUGAUGAGUGCAAUAUCACUAUCAUCACAUUCCAUGUCAUCUUCACUCACGGAGGCUGUAUCAUCUUCAUCUUGUGAAGCUUUUAAAGCAAUACUCUUUCUCACCUUUGUACCUUCUUCCUCCUGCACCUUGAACUUGAGUUUCAGCUCAUAAGAAAUUAGAGAGUUAAUAAGAGAUUCAAUGGGCAAGGUAUUUAGAUCUUUAGCUUCCUCAAUAGCAGUCGCUUUACUCUCCCAAUCCUUCGAUAAGGCAUUCAGAAUUUUUCUGUUUUUCUCACCUAGAGAGUAUUCUUUUUCCAGCACCUCCAAAUCCUUAAUGAGGUCAUUAAAUCUACAAUACAUCUCAUCAAUGUUUUCAUGAGAUUGCAUCUUGAAGGAUUCAUACUUUGUAACCAGAAUAGACUUCUUUUGUUCUCUAACAUUCUCACUACCUUCAUGAAAUUCUCUCAAUUUAUCCCAAAUUUCCUUGGCUGACUUGCAGCCUUUGACUCUAGCAGAUUCAUUUGAAUCUAAGGCACAAUAUAACACAUUCAUGGCUUUUGCAUUUAAGGUGAGAUGAGCUCUAUCCACAGCAGUCAGUUCACUUCUUAUUUUUGGUCUAGAUGUAUGAGUAUUUUCAUCUAUAAAAGAGGUAUCAUAUGGACCUUCACUAAUAAUAAGUCACAAUUCAAUAUCAAUUGAUUGCAAAAAGAUAAUCAUUCUUUCUUUCCAACUCACAUAAUUUAAACCAGUAAACAUGGGUGGUCUAAUCACAGAAUGUCCUUCAAAAAAUAUGACAUUGUUGGUUGUCAUUUUUACUCCCAAGCCGAUUGAUGUGAGAACCCGUUUUGCCCUAAUAUUUUCCUAGGGUUUAUUUUCCCCUUAAUUGCAUGUUUUCUGCAUUUUCUGGCUUAGAAAUAUUUUCUUAGUGGAUUUUAUGAGUAAUUAUAGUUUUUAGAUGAAUUUUCUAGUAUUGGAGAGUUUUUAGAAAAUUAAGAAUAUAUAUUGGACGUGGGACCCACUAGUGCGAAAGGUACGGGAAAAUUCGGCCAAUAAGGUUAAGUUUCGGAUACUGUUAGAAAUUUAUCGGGUGUUAAGUGAUAAGUAGAGUGUGUGAAGUGAUUGAUGUGAGAGAGAAAAGAAAGAUAAGAAUGCAUUGAUGAAAGUGCCACAUGUCAUCUUCUCAUUGGUUGUACCUUAAGAAUUACUAUUCACCUUUUGACAAUUUUUUUGACUUUUACCACUUGAGUUAAAUAUCUCAAAAAUUACAAAAAAACUCACUCUUCUCUCUUCCCUCUUGGCCGGCCAUCCCAAGCUCCACAAGGAAGAAAGCUCUUCAAAUUUUAAGCUUCCACUUGGUGCAAAUCAACCAAAACCAAUUGUUUCCAUCCAUUUCACUCCAUAGGAACUUUGCUUCUAGUGUUAAUAAGUGUACUAGUGAAGUUGUUUUGAAGCUCUAAGGUGGCCAACCUCUCUAUCUUUCUUGUUUCUUGGUAAGUGUUGCUUGAACACUCUACUACCUCUAAUAAUGGUUAUAUGAUGCUUAGAAGUGGCAUGAGUGUGAGAAAAUGUGAUUUGUUUCUUGAUUUGAAGAGUUUUGGUGAAGUUUUCAUUUUAUUGAGAAUUUUUCUGGUUUAAUAUGAAAUGAAGGUUGUGGCUUUGCAUGAUGAAUGGUAAUGGUUGAUGAUGACUCUAUGAGGUGUAUUGGAUAGGAAAAUGCAAUCAAUUUUGGAUUUGGUGUGAAAUUGAAAAGUUAGGGUUCUUAAUUCCCAAAUUCUGUCCGGUUUUUGAUCAUAGGGUUAGAGGCCGAAUUUGACUUUGCUUAAAACAUGAAAGUUGUAGGUAUUGAUGUGAUGGAGAUACCUGUAAAAUUUCAGAGCAUUUGGAUUAGUGUGGAGUGAGUUAUGACGAAAUUACUGUAGCUGUUCUGCUUUGGACAGAAUGCGAAAACUGCGAUAGUAAUUGGCUAUUUUGACUGGAAUUGGUUUGGAUUUUGGAGUUGGUGUCUUCUGAUGAAAUGUAGCUGGAUGACUUAGCUAACAUAUGCCUUUGGAAUUUCGGCAAUUGGACUUGUAUGGACUGAGAUAUACUGAUUACAGUUUUUGGUGAUUUGCAAACCUGUUUUGGUAAUUCUGGUUUAGUAUUUUGCACUUUUGACCUAGUUAAGCUAGGAACUGGAUUGAGUGCCCUUCUACAUUGUUGUAGCCCUGUUUCAUAGCUUCGAAAUGGUGGGUCUUACACCCCCAACCGAUAACCGUAGUGAAUUUGACGCCAUUACCGCAUUAUAAGAUCAAACACGGUUUUUCUAUCAAGGCUUAAGUUAAGGCCAUAUUUUAAUUUCUGGUUUGCUAUCAUGCCUACUUAUGCAUGUGAAACCCUAUUGGGGUUGUGUUUAGCAUUGUUUGGUGACUCGUUCUCGAGUCUCAUUGUAUGUGUUACAUGUUCUAGGGCUUGAAGGUAGUGCUCGACGGCUUGGUGAUCGUGGUACAUGAAAAACCACUUACUUGCGUGGUGAGUAUACUACUCACUUAAUUGUUACUAUGUGGCUUUGCUAAAUGUAUAUGUGAUGCCUUGAAGGCUUACUUGGAUAUUGGAAUUGAUUAAGGUGAGGGUGUACUUGACCGCCCUCACCCCUUUUGAUAGUAUCACUGAUUGGCUACCGUUUUACUGCAUUACUGAACUUGAUAUACUGGAUACUGAAUUCCAUUCUAGGAAACUGAUUUGGUGUCAUUUGGGCGAAUGUCCAAUGGCUUCACUGUAUUACUGAGCUCAACCCCGUUUGGUAGUCAAUUGGAUCGAGCCGGCGAGGGCUUGGUCGUGAAAAUUGUCAUGCCACGGGGACUGUACUGAGGAACCUUGUGGUAAUGAGACCUUUGGUUCCGGUAUACUCGAGUAUUACCAAAAUGACUGAAUGGAGUGCGGGCCCGGUUGGGGUAUGUUGGGUGGAAGGAAUGGAAGUGAAGUGAGGUCUACGGUUUGGUACUUUCAACAUUGACGGAGGGUCAAUGAGUGUGGAUCAAGAAUGUAAGCGUGGAAAUGGGCUCUUGAGAGUCGACCGUAUCCUUUCACUGAAUUGCUUACUUCGAAAUUGCAUACUUGAAUUGAAUGGUUAUGCUUAUGUGAUCUUAACUGCUAUUGUGAUAGUUGCUCACUGAGCUUUAGCUCACUCCGUUCCAUUUGUUUUCCUUACAGGAAAAUGAAUACUUUUGGAAAAGGUUGUAAUAGUUGAAUGACAAGUUGAGCUCAUGUACAUGUAUUUUGAAUAGCUCCUUGAGGGUGAAACCCUAUGUGUUUUGUUUCACCAAUAUUUGGUGUGUAAAUGGCUAUUGUAUGUGAAUGAACUAAAUGGAUCUCUUGGUAUGCCAAUUUGGCUUGACAAUGUUGGAUUUCCAUGUAUAUAUGUUAAGUUGAUGUUUGGAUGAACUUCUGAACGUUUCGGCUUUCAAACGGCAAAAGAAAAUUUUUGACGGAAAGGCACUGGACUGAAUCCGGCCAGGAAUCCGGCCAGAAACUGGCCGGAUUGUCGGCCGGAUUGCUUGGAAAAUUUUGAAUCCGUGAAGUUGCUCACUGGACAGUAUCCGGCCAAGAAUCCGGCCGCUAAUCCGGCCAGAUUCCGGCCGGAUUCUGCUGUCCAGGUUACUAUUCAGUUUUUCGUUUUUUUUAUUUUGUUAUUUUGAUACUUGUGACCUGUCUGAGCGCACUUUUGCAUUCCCGAAACGUAUUAGAACGCGUGUAACUGCUCCGUAGUCCUGGCGAGAGCUGGGCAGACAGUCCGCUAACCCCUUUGGUUCGCCUUAGGGGAAAGUGGGGCUGUUACAAUUGAGCUUAAUCUCUAGGAGACCAAACUCUGAUACCAAUUGUAAGGAUCGAAGACAAUCAAUCAAAAAGUCAAUCGAUAAACAAUUAAAAGAUCACAAUAUAACAAUAAAUAAAUAAAAGGGAAAGAAUUUGCAAAUCAAUUAACUACCCAACUCCUCUUGAGCUUGUAGAUUAAUUCAAAUAAGCUACUUCAAGUUGAUGAAUUAUAAUCACUCUUGUGUACAAAGGAAGGUUCACCUCCUCCUUGCCCCGAACUCCACUCGGUCAAGUCAGGACGUUUUACUAUCCCUCAAGACAACCCUCACAGAGCUACACUCAUGAAAGAUUCACUCACAAAUGAAAAGUUUACAAUGAAUCUCACACCAUUAAAACUACAAAUCUUCCUUGAAGAGUAUUUUCUCACUAAAAUCACUCUAGAUCUUUUGUAUCUUCAGUGUGCAAAAGUUAUUUGAAGUAUCUGACCAACCACUAUUUAUAUAGGAUCAAGAAAGUGCCUCAUUAGUGCUUCCAACGGAUAGAAAAUAGCUGAAGAGUCAACUAGCCGUUGGAGUAUCGGACGUCCGAUGCUUGUGUCCGAUACUGUCGGACGUCUGAUGCUUACGUCCGACAGCAGGCAGUGAGUUUGAAAAAUUUUCUUCAAUUCUAUCGGACGUCCGAUAGGCUGGUUUUCUGUGUCCGAAGGUAUGAUGUAAAACUGAGAAUUUUUCUUCAAUUCCUUAGGACGUCCGGUAGGCUGGUUUUCUGCGUCCAAAGAUACUCAAUGGUUGUCGGACGUCCAAUUCAGUCUUUUUGAGCGUCCGACAACUUUCAGCAACUUUUGUCUUCUUUCAAUUGCACUUGUUCAUGGAAUCAAAUAACUUCAUAACUGAAAGUAUAUCUUGAAGAGAUAUUAGUAUCAUCCAUUUGUUUUGUAAAUAUCAAAAGAUAAGGAUCAAGAUCAACACCUUCCACCUGCGAAAUUUGCAUCGAACCCAUAAUUUCACCAACCCAAUUAUUCAAAAGCCCAAACAAUGAAAAAUGCGGGCCCCACCCAUUCUGC